UGUUGGUCCUGCUUAAUGUCGACCUGCUUAGUGUCGAACUGCUUAGAGGUCUUAGUGUUGGCCUGCUUAAUGUCGACCUGCUUAGUGUCGGCCUGCUUAGUGUCGGCCUGCUUAGUGUCGGCCUGCUUAGUGUCGAGCUGCUUCGAGGUCUUAGUGUUGGCCUGCUUAGUGUCGGCCUGCUUAGUGUCGAGCUGCUUAGUGUUGGCCUGCUUAGUGUCGGCCUGCUUAGUGUCGGCCUGCUUAGUGUCGAGCUGCCAGCAGAAUAUCCAGCUAGAGUAUUUGAUUGGUAUUCUUACAUUAGCUAGGCUGUGCAUCAGUCAAGUCAUUUAAGGUGAUAUGUAACAUGAGCAUCUCCCCACCUCUAAAUGACCAUCCAUCAGAGUUGUUGCAUAUGAACCAGCCCUAACAUUGUCC
rnacentral:lncRNA from 13 species